GGGCGAUUAACUCAGCGGCAGAGUGCUACCUUCACACGGUAGAAGUCAGAGGUUCAAAUCCUCUAUCGCCCACCA
rnacentral:tRNA from 1 species